UUAAGCUAAGAAGAGCGUAGGGAGAAUGCCUUGGCAUUAGGAGCCGAUGAAGGACGUGAUAAGCUGCGAUAAGCUGCGGGGAUCAGCAAGUAUGAAUUGAUCCGCAGAUUUCCGAAUGGAGCAAUCCGUAUGUGUAUGCACAUACAUCAUAUACUGAAUCAAAUAGGUAUAUGAGGGGAACCGCCUGAACUGAAACAUCUAAGUAGGGCGAGGAAGAGAAAUCAACCGAGAUUCUGUGAGUAGUGGCGAGCGAAAGCGGAAGAGGCUAAACCAUAGGUAGCAAUACUUAUGGGGUUUCGGACAGCAUUUAGUAUUGAUAAUUUCUAGUUGAAACGUGUGGGAAAACGUACCGAAGAGUGUGAGAGUCACGUAAGCGAAAGAGAAAGUCAGCGAGCUGUAUCCAAAGUACCGCGGGACACGUGAAACCCCGUGGGAAGAUGGGGGGACCAUCCUCCAAGCCUAAAUACUACCUAAUGACCGAUAGCGAAUAGUACUGUGAAGGAACGGUGAAAAGAACCCCGGGAGGGGAGUGAAAAAGAACCUGAAACCCUAUGCUUACAAGCACCGAGAGCACGUCAAAGUGUGAUCGGGUACCUUUUGUAGAAUGGUCCGGCGAGUUAUUGUAUGCGGCAAGGUUAAGUGCUUAAGGCACGGAGCCGAAGCGAGAGCAAGUCUGAAUAGGGCGAGUAAGUCGUAUGCAAUAGACCCGAAACCGAGUGAUCUAUCCAUGUCCAGGCUGAAGUGGAGGUAAAACUCCAUGGAGGGCCGAACACACGUCCGUUGAAAAGGCCGGUGAUGAGGUGUGGAUAGCGGAGAAAUUCCAAUCGAACUCGGAUAUAGCUGGUUCUCUCCGAAAUAGCUUUAGGGCUAGCCUCGUGAAAGAUUACUGGAGGUAAAGCACUGAAUGGGCUAGGGGUCGAAAGAUUACUGAACCCUAUCAAACUAAGAAUGCCAGAUAAUUGAUUCACGGGAGUCAGACAAUGUGAGAUAAGUCUCAUUGUCAAAAGGGAAACAGCCCAGACCCACAGCUAAGGUCCCUAAACAUUGUUAAGUGGAAAAGGAUGUGGGGUUGCAUAAACAACCAGGAUGUUGGCUUAGAAGCAGCCACUCAUUAAAAGAGUGCGUAAUAGCUCACUGGUCGAGUGACCCUGCGCCGAAAAUUCAACGGGGCUAAACAAUGUACCGAAGCUUGGGAUUCUAGAUUUAUCUAGAGUGGUAGGAGAGCGUCGAAUAAGGGGUGAAGUCAGAGCGGAAGCGCUGGUGGACUUUAUUCGAGUGAGAAUGCCGGAAUGAGUAGCGAGAAUUAUGUGAGAAUCAUAAUGGCCGAAAAUCUAAGGUUUCCUGAGGAAGGUUCGUCCGCUCAGGGUAAGCCGGGGGCUAAGGCGAGGCGGAGACGCGUAGCCGAUGCACAUACGGUUGAAAUUCCGUAGCCACCGAAAGAUUUAAGUACAGGGACGCUUUAGAAGUGAUGUAGCCGGGCGAUGGUUGACCCGGUCGUAAGGGAUCGAAAAUGAGUAGAGAAGUCAUCAUGGAAAGAGACAAGAAAAGCUGUAUGAAUAUCUUAGGUGCCCGUACCGCAAACCGACACAGGUAGAUAGGAAGAAGAUUCUAAGGCCAACGGGAGAAGGGUUGUUAAGGAACUCGGCAAGUUGACCCCGUAACUUAGGGAUAAGGGGUGCUCAAGUGAUUGAGCCGCAGAGAAUAGGCCCAGGCGACUGUUUAGCAAAAACACAGGUCUCUGCUAAAUCGAAAGAUGACGUAUAGGGGCUGACACCUGCCCGGUGCCGGAAGGUUAAGAGGAGAUGUGAGAGCAUUGAAUUGAAGCCCCGGUAAACGGCGGCCGUAACUAUAACGGUCCUAAGGUAGCGAAAUUCCUUGUCAGGUAAGUUCUGACCCGCACGAAAGGUGUAACGAUCUGGGCACUGUCUCAACAACCCGCCCGGCGAAAUUGUAGUACCGGUGAAGAUGCCGGUUACCCGCGACUAGACGGAAAGACCCCAUGG
rnacentral:rRNA from 1 species